UAGAACAUUUGAGGUGCCGGCAGUAGCGGUGCGUGGCGUUGAAUGAAACUAAUAAGAUUAUGGAGAUCAACAACUACCUGCUGUAGGGAUCAUGUCUGGCAGUGCUGCUGACUGCCAGUACUGGGAGAGACUGCUGGCUAAGGAGUGCAGGCUGUACAAACUGAGGAACAAGCAGAGGAUCUGUGUCUGCAGCCUCUAAGCUGCUGUGUAACAUGAUGCUGGGAUACAGAGGCAUGGGCCUCUCCAUGGGCAGCAUGAUCGUUGGCUGGGACAACAAGGUACAGGGUGGGAGUAUAGUUUGUAUGUGUGUGUGUGUGGGGUGGUAUGUGUUUAUUUGAAAGGCUGAUUUUAUAGCUUACAUUUUCAUCCUGAUGGUACCCACAUUUCGGCUACUGGCCCAACGCUCUUAACCGCUAGGCUACCUGCCACCCCAUAAUUUCACACAGGUCAUCAAAAUAUAUAUUACUUAUUAAGCCCAUAUACAAAAUUAUAUUGUUCCACUUCCAAUACCUGUUUAGAGCAUAUCUU